rnacentral:rRNA from 1 species
UUCGGAGGGUGCAAGCGUUAUCCGGAUUCACUGGGUUUAAAGGGUGCGUAGGAGGGCAGGUAAGUCAGUGGUGAAAUCUCCGAGCUUAACUUGGAAACUGCCGUUGAUACUAUCUGUCUUGAAUAUUGUGGAGGUGAGCGGAAUAUGUCAUGUAGCGGUGAAAUGCUUAGAUAUGACAUAGAACACCAAUUGGGAAGGCAGCACGCUACACAUAUAUUGACUCUGAGGCACGAAAGCGUGGGGA